rnacentral:rRNA from 1 species
UACGGGGGGGGCAAGCGUUGUUCGGAAUUACUGGGCGUAAAGGGCUCGUAGGUGGCCAACUAAGUCAGACGUGAAAUCCCUCGGCUUAACCGGGGAACUGCGUCUGAUACUGGAUGGCUUGAGAUUGGGAGAGGGAUGCGGAAUUCCAGGUGUAGCGGUGAAAUGCGCAGAUAUCAGGAGGAACACCAAUGGCGAAGGCAGCUCACUGGGACGGUAUUGACGCUGAGACGCGAAAGCGUGGGGAGCAAACAGG